rnacentral:rRNA from 1 species
AGUGAACGCUGGCGGUAGGCUAACACAUGCCAGUCGAACGGCAGCACAGUAAGAGCUUGCUCUUACGGGUGGCGAGUGGCGGACGGGUGAGGAAUACAUCGGAAUCUACUUUUUCGUGGGGGAUAACGGAGGGAAACUUACGCUAAUACCGCAUACGACCUACGGGUGAAAGCAGGGGAUCUUCGGACCUUGCGCGAUUGAAUGAGCCGAUGUCGGAUUAGCUAGUUGGCGGGGUAAAGGCCCACCAAGGCGACGAUCCGUAGCUGGUCUGAGAGGAUGAUCAGCCACACUGGAACUGAGACACGGUCCAGACUCCUACGGGAGGCAGCAGUGGGGAAUAUUGGACAAUGGGCGCAAGCCUGAUCCAGCCAUACCGCGUGGGUGAAGAAGGCCUUCGGGUUGUAAAGCCCUUUUGUUGGGAAAGAAAAGCAGCAGGUUAAUACCCCGCUGUUCUGACGGUACCCAAAGAAUAAGCACCGGCUAACUUCGUG